CAGAGGAGUCAUGAACAGCAUUGUUUCUAGCGAACUCGGCCCACGGGAGUAGUUCGGACCAAUUGUCUUGUGUGCUAUUAAUAAAACAACGCAAAUAAACUUCUAAUGACUAGUUAGCCCUCUCAGCUGUACCAUUGGUCUGUGGAUGGUAGGAGGAGGAGAAGGAGAGAUCAAUCCCCAAUUGUUUACUGAACGCCCUCCAGAACCUGGACACAAACUGAG